UACGUAGGGUGCGAGCGUUGUCCGGAAUUACUGGGCGUAAAGCGCUCGUAGGUGGUUUGUCGCGUUGUCCGUGAAAACUCACAACUCAAUUGUGGGCGUGCGGGCGAUACGGGCAGACUGGAGUACUGCAGGGGAGACUGGAAUUCCUGGUGUAGCGGUGAAAUGCGCAGAUAUCAGGAGGAACACCGAUGGCGAAGGCAGGUCUCUGGGCAUUAACUGACGCUGAGGAGCGAAAGCAUGGGGAGCGAACAGG
rnacentral:rRNA from 1 species